CGCCCACGGCGGCCGCCAUCUUGAAAGAGGGCAAAGACACUCCUGACGCUCCCGGCCUUUCAGCUCGUUUCAAACGCCAGUGCCAUCUUGGAUCACGGUAAUCACCGCCUCUUUGCGCUCCGGGUUAUACUCUCUGGCGCCAUCUUGGAUUAUGUCAGAGUCACCUCCGUCGGUAGUCCAGCAGUUUCUAACAUCUGGAUGCUUUGUCGUCCUUGACUGUUUCUCCCCGUAUAAACUCUGUCUCCAUGAUGGAUCAAGAAAAUGAUGCUUUCCUUCUCCCUUUUCAUCUUCUUCCAGUGGGUGAUCGAACAACCUGCCAUUUUGGGUCAGGGUGAUUGACGCCGAUAUCGCUUCCCAUCAACCCCAGAGGCGGGAGAGGAAUACGCUUUUUGGCGGGUUCUCUUUGCUCCUGCACCAGCAGCCAGGUUGAAGGUUCAGCCUUCGAAAGUUUCUUCCCUGGCUUUUAAAUUUUAAGUUACUAGUACAGUGGAGAAGGUCAACGAGAAGUGUGCCCCUUUUUUUGACUAAAGUCGUACGUGUGGUCUAGGUUCCAGUGUCAUUUGGGAAGGUCUGGAAGGUUCAAGUGCAUCUUCCAGCCUGAAGCUCUGUGGGAUCACCUGUCGCCGAGGCGGGACGAGGACGAGGUAUUUAGGUGGUCAGCUAAGGGUGAGGUGCCGAGUGGAGCAAGAAACUUCCCACCUACAGUGAUCAAAAACAGAAGUGUUGGCUUACACGGAAAACCUGUCUGCUGAGGAGUAUAAUCAGUUCCUUGAGAGAGGAUAUUUCUGACACAUCUUAGCAUCUCUGACUACCAGAAGAAUAGGGGCUUACUUUCAGGAGCAGACGAGAAAACUGAAGCACAAACUACACAGCUCCAGUAGGAGGUGCAGCUGGAACCGACUCCCCUUGGCUGAUUAACCAGGUUUGCUAAGCCCUACCCUAGUCUCCUGUAGUGUUUGUCUUCAGUGAACAGGUCAGGUGCUUUCUGGAGAGAGAUUUGGGACUUCAUGGACCUUACAGAAUAGGUUGUAUGUCUACUUGUUAAUAAGUACUUGACGAACCUGGCCUGAGGCUCUCUUUCACUUUAACAUAGCACCUGGAAUAAGGUUGUGGAGAAGCCCUGUAACUCCACCUCUCUUAACUACUGGAGGCUACUAACGUCUGCCCAAAAGAAGCUACUAAGUGUGAAUGACCAAAUCGACAGGUUACUUUAUAAUUUUCUUCUUUCUUAGUUAUCUCCAACUAGAAGAACUCUAGUCCCAGAGUCCAAUAAUGUCAGGAUUUAUUACACACUUCCACGUGGUCACCACUGGGGCAACAACAGUUUCUGAUAUGAAGCCCUCCCUGCAGAAUGUCAGCAUUUGGAACACAGCAGGGCCUGCGGGCUAAGAUUUCAAACAAGCAGCAGUUAGAAAUUUUAAAGUUGUCUCCAAACAUUGUAGGUCUCCUGGCUGUCUCCAGUUCCAAUGAUCAAAGCCACUGAAGGUAAAUGAUUGUAGCUGUCAGAAUGGCCCCUCCCACUUCCCUUUUGGGUCACUGUCAAGGAAAUCCUACCCUAGUGACCCUGUCUCUCCUCUGCAUCUAUCUCAGAUGGCCCCAUUGGAUUCUCUUCUAACUCAGGUAGCUCCGGGUUCCAAAAACACCCGAGAUUGUUGUCCUGGCUGGUUGUUUCAUAUCACAAGUAAUCUGGUAAUUGCUUCUGAAUUGCAGGUCUACUUAGAUUUGGUGGUGAGGAGCAUAGAACUGGUACUUUUAAAAUGUCUUAAAAAGUGGAAAAUAUGUGUGAAUAUAAAUGGCUAAACACAAACUAUAACAUAUGUAUUGAGUCUAUAUUAUCAAUGUAAUUGGUGAAACUAUGGACCAUGCCCUCCAGACUGAUUUCACACAAACAAUUAAGUUUUAAUUUCACUGUAACUUGAAAAGUAAUAUGCAUGGUUCAGGUAAAAUUUGGAGUUCUCGUUUUUCCCUAGUCCAUCUGGAACAGCACUGAUAGAACUUUACAGAAAGUUUUAACCUGUGCUGUCUGAUCAGGUAGCCACUAGUCACAUGUGACUACUGAAUGCUUGAAAUGUGGUUAGCACAACUGAGGAACUGAAUUUGAAAUUUUAUUUAUUUUAAUUAACUUAAACUUAAAUAGUCACUUGUGACCGUGGCUACCAUAUUAGUCAUAAUGGAAGUAGAAUUUGAUGAUGACCUUAUAACAGGAUAGUCUAUUACGUUGCAGCCACAAAGUAACCUAAAAUCUUGGUGAUUUAUAAGAACCAAGGCUUAUUUCUUACUUGUGUUAUGUACCCAUUGGGGGUUGACUGGGGGCCCAGGCCGAUAAAGCAGUCACCAUCUUACAUGUUGCCAAUCAUAGGGGAGAGCCUUACACUAGCACUUAAGUGCUCUGGCCCAGAGGAGACACCCAUCACUUCUACUCACAGCUCACUGCCUGGCACAAGUCACAGCCCCAUUGAGCCAAGGACCCACAAUGCUGUGCCAGGGGGAAAAGAGCCUCUUUAAUGACUAGCAAGGAUGUUAGCCUCCCUUUCAAAAUACAGUGAAGGAGUUCCUACAGGGUAAAGACAGUAGUAUUACUUGUAUUUUCUUGAAAAUUGGAGAAUUGAGUUUCUCUAGAAUUCAAUUAUCCUUAAUCUCCUUGAUACUUAUUAGCUUUGAUUUAUUAAUAACCAGUAAGAUGUGAAAAGUAAAAUUCAAAACACUUUGAUUAAAAAGUAAAAGAGACUAUAUAAAGUU